UUAUUCGAUGCACGCGAAGAACCUUACCUGGGCUUGACAUGUACGUAGUAGUGAAGGGAAACCGGAACGAGCCUUCGGGCAGCGUAGACAGGUGCUGCAUGGCUGUCGUCAGCUCGUGUCGUGAGAUGUUGGGUUAAGUCCCGCAACGAGCGCAACCCGUGUUGCUAGUUACAAGUGUCUAGCGAGACUGCCGGUAAAAAGCCGGAGGAAGGUGCGGAUGAUGUCAAGUCAGCAUGGCCUAUAUGUCCAGGGCUACACACACGCUACAAUGG
rnacentral:rRNA from 1 species